CCUCGUAUUUCACACUACGUAUCCGUUUUUUUUGUUGCUCGGUGGUUGGAGGGCGAUAUAAUUCAGUUUAGAGCCUCUGAGCAGAUUCAGUCUAUACAUACACAAGAGGGUCCUUUCUCUCUGUCUCUUUCUCUCAAUGCUUAUUUUA
ensembl:ncRNA C52A11.5 ncRNA